rnacentral:rRNA from 1 species
GAGGACCUACGGGAGGCAGCAGUGAGGAAUAUUGGUCAAUGGGCGGAAGCCUGAACCAGCCAAGUCGCGUGAGGGAAUAAGGCCCUACGGGUCGUAAACCCCUUUUGCCGGGGAGCAAGGGCCGGGACGCGUCCCGGCCCGGAGAGUACCCGGAGAGAAAGCAUCGGCUAACUCCGUGCCAGCAGCCGCGGUAAUACGGAGGAUGCGAGCGUUAUCCGGAUUUAUUGGGUUUAAAGGGUGCGUAGGCGGGCUUUUAAGUCAGCGGUAAAAAUUCGGGGCUCAACCCCGUC